UCACAAAUCAACGAAUUAUAGAUAAUCACCACAAAAUGAUAGCUGGAUUGAACAAACGAAUCUCAGGAUAAACUAGGAGAAAAACAUAUGUUACAUGUAAAGUGUAGCACGGCACUUGUUUUAGUGGUGUAUUCCUUCGAAGGUCUUAAAAUUACAUAUUGAAUGAUUUUUAACUUUUUUUUCAUUCACGAUGAACAUGACAACCGGC
rnacentral:lncRNA from 1 species